ACACAUGCAAGUCGAACGGGAAGAGAUGAAGAGCUUGCUCUUUAUCGAAUCCAGUGGCAAACGGGUGAGUAACACGUAAACAACCUGCCUUCAGGAUGGGGACAACAGACGGAAACGACUGCUAAUACCGAAUACGUUCCACGGGCCGCAUGACCUGUGGAAGAAAGGGUAGCCUCUACCUGUAAGCUAUCGCCUGAAGAGGGGUUUGCGUCUGAUUAGGCAGUUGGUGGGGUAACGGCCCACCAAACCAACGAUCAGUAGCCGGUCUGAGAGGAUGAACGGCCACACUGGAACUGAGACACGGUCCAGACUCCUACGGGAGGCAGCAGUGGGGAAUCUUCCGCAAUGGACGAAAGUCUGACGGAGCAACGCCGCGUGAGUGAAGACGGCCUUCGGGUUGUAAAGCUCUGUGAUCCGGGACGAAAGAGCCUUGGGUAAAUAGCCUAAGGAAGUGACGGUACCGGAAAAGCAAGCCACGGCUAACUACGUGCCAGCAGCCGCGGUAAUACGUAGGUGGCAAGCGUUGUCCGGAAUUAUUGGGCGUAAAGCGCGCGCAGGCGGCUUCCUAAGUCCAUCUUAAAAGUGCGGGGCUUAACCCCGUGAUGGGAUGGAAACUGGGAAGCUGGAGUAUCGGAGAGGAAAGUGGAAUUCCUAGUGUAGCGGUGAAAUGCGUAGAGAUUAGGAAGAACACCGGUGGCGAAGGCGACUUUCUGGACGAAAACUGACGCUGAGGCGCGAAAGCGUGGGGAGCAAACAGGAUUAGAUACCCCGGUAGUCCACGCCGUAAACGAUGGAUACUAGGUGUAGGAGGUAUCGACCCCUUCUGUGCCGGA
rnacentral:rRNA from 1 species